rnacentral:tRNA from 2 species
GCCUGAGUGGCGGAAUGGUAGACGCAGGGGAUUCAAAAUCCCCCGAUGGCAACAUCGUGUGGGUUCGAGUCCCACCUUAGGCA